UACGGGGGGAGCAAGCGUUGUUCGGAUUUACUGGGCGUAAAGGGCGCGUAGGCGGCGCAACAAGUCACUUGUGAAAUCUCCGGGCUUAACUCGGAGCGGCCAAGUGAUACUGUCGUGCUAGAGUGCGGAAGGGGCAACUGGAAUUCUCGGUGUAGCGGUGAAAUGCGUAGAUAUCGAGAGGAACACCGGCGGCGAAGGCGGGUUGCUGGGCCGUAACUGACGCUGAGGAGCGAAAGCAUGGGGAGCGAACAGG
rnacentral:rRNA from 1 species